CCACUUCACAUUAAGCCGCAAACGCCUAUAUAGGACGGUGCCGGUUUCGGCCGGCUAUGGUGAUAAACUGCGGUGUAUAAUAGACGCAAUGGACCCGGGGGCAGUACCCGGCGGCUCCACCAAAAGGCCCGGUC
rnacentral:tmRNA from 1 species